rnacentral:misc_RNA from 1 species
UUUCCGUAGGUGAACCUGCGGAAGGAUCAUUACUGAGUGAGGGCCCUCUGGGUCCAACCUCCCACCCGUGUUUAUUGUACCUUGUUGCUUCGGUGAGCCCGCCUCACGGCCGCCGGGGGGCAUCUGCCCCCGGGCCCGCGCCCACCGAAGACACCUAGAACUUUGUAUGAAGAUUGCAGUCUGAGCAAAAACUAAAUAAGUUAAAACUUUCAACAACGGAUCUCUUGGUUCCG